rnacentral:tRNA from 1 species
CAAAAAGUAGCUUAAUAAAAGCACUCAGCUUACAACUGAAAGACGUCCAAAGGAACCUUUUUGA